rnacentral:rRNA from 1 species
AGAGUUUGAUCCUGGCUCAGGAUGAACGCUGGCGGCGUGGAUUAGGCAUGCAAGUCGAACGGUCCGUCUUCGGACGGAUAGUGGCAGACGAGUUAGUAACACCUUGGUACCUACCCUAAAGUCGGGCAUAACCAAUCGAAAGGUUGGCUAAUUCCCGAUAGUCCCUGCGAGCAAUCGUAAGGGUAAAGAAUUUCGCUUUAGGAGGGGCCUAGGUCCUAUCAGCUUGUUGGUGAGGUAAUAGCUCACCAAGGCUACGACGGGUAGGGGGCGUGAGAGCGCGACCCCCAACGAGGGAACUGAGAACGGUCCUUACUCCUACGGGAGGCCGCAGUCGAGAAUAUUGCACAAUGGACGAAAGUCUGAUGCAGCGACGCCGCGUGCAGGAAGAAGGCCUUCGGGUUGUAAACUGCUUUUGUCAGGGAAAAAUUUUGAUUGUACCUGAAGAAUAAGGGGCUGCUAACUCUGUGCCAGCAGCAGCGGUAAUACAGAGGCCCCGAGCGUUAUCCGGAUUAACUGGGCGUAAAGCGUGCGCAGCCGGUUAGUAUAGUCUGAUGUUAAAUCUUACGGCUCAACUGUGAGACCGCAUCGGAAACGUACAAACUAGAGCAAGUCAGAGGUAAGCGGAACGUGUGGUGGAGGGGUGAAAUCCGCUGAUAUCACACGGAACACCAAAAGCGAAGGCAGCUUACUGGGGCUUUGCUGACGGUCAGGCACGAAAGCGUGGGCAUAAAAAAGGAUUAGAUACCCUUGUAUUCCACGCCCUAAACGAUGCAGACUAGCUAUCGGGAGCAUCGACCCUCUCGGUGGCGCAGCUAACGCGUUAAGUCUGCCGCCUGGGAAUUACGAUCGCAAGAUUAAAACUCAAAGGAAUAGGCGGGAAUUUGCACAAGCGGUGGAUCAUGUGGUUUAAUUCGACAAUGAGCGGAAAACCUCACCAAGAUUUGACACUCAGCUGCAGGCUUCGGGAAACCGAGGAAGCCUUCGAGGGUGCUGAGCAGGUGAUGCACGGCUGUCGUCAGCUCGUCGAGUGAUCGGUUCCGUUAAGUCGGGAAACGAGCGCAACCCCCGUCGUCUGUUAUACGUGUCAGGCGAGACUGCCGAGUCAAACUCGGAGGAAGGAGGGGAUGACGUCAAGUCAGCGUGUCCUUUUGAUAUCUUGGGCUACACGCAUGAUACAAUGGGUGAAACAAUGGGUUGCCAAACCGCGAGGUGGAGCUAAUCCCAUCAAAUACAUCCUCAGUUCGGAUUGGAGGCUGAAACUUGCCUCCAUGAAGCUGGAAUCGCUAGUAAUCGCGGAUCAGAACGCCGCGGUGAAUACGUUCUCAAAUUUUGCACUCACCGCCCGUCACAUCAGGGAAGCCGGGAAUACCCGAAGACCCAUGUUCUUAUGUGGGGCUACGGUAAGCUCGGUGACAAGGAUGAAGUCGUAACAAGGCA